AACGCACCUUGCGCUCUCUGGUAUUCCGGAGAGCAUGCCUGUUUGAGUGUCAUGAACUCUUCAACCCACCAGUUUUUGUUAAAACUGUGUUGGUGUUUGGUUUCUGAACGUUGCUGGUUCCUCGCGAACGCUAGCUCGUUUAAAAUACAUUAGCAUCUCAAUUUCGAAACUUGGAUUGACUCAGCGUAAUAGACUAUUCGCUGAGAACACCUUUCAGUAGGUGGCCAUGUUAGAUAACGACUGAUGCUCACAGCACUCUAUCUAGUCAUUCGUUUAAGAUUAGACCUCAGAUCAGGCAGGAUUACCCGCUGAACUUAA
rnacentral:misc_RNA from 1 species